GCUUUACUGUAGCCUGACAUUGGAUUUGGGCUCCUCUUGCGCAGACUAGGUGGGAGGCUAUGAUACUAUCUUUGCGGAGUUAGUUGAGCCAUCAUUGAGAGACCACUCUGGAAGAGCUAAAAUUCUAAUGGUGAUCCUUGAAUCAGGACACUUGACAUUGUCAGGCGGGCAGUUUUUCUGGGGCGGAAGCCUCCUAAAAGGUAACGGAGGCGCGCAAAGGUUCCUUCAAGCUGGACGGAAAUCAGCUGUAGAGUGUAAAGGUAUAAGGGAGCUUGACUGCAAGACCAACAAGUCGAGCAGGGGCGAAAGCCGGCCUUAGUGAUCCGACGGUACCGAGUGGAAGGGCCGUCGCUCAUCGUAUAAAAGUUACUCUAGGGUAAACAGGCUAAA
rnacentral:rRNA from 1 species